rnacentral:piRNA from 1 species
UGAAAAGAUUAUUCCAUUUCAUUAGCUGCU